AUUGAACGCUGGCGGCAUGCCUUACACAUGCAAGUCGAACGGUAACGGGCCUUCGGGUGCCGACGAGUGGCGAACGGGUGAGUAAUGCAUCGGAACGUACCUUUCAGUGGGGGAUAACGUAGCGAAAGUUACGCUAAUACCGCAUAUUCUGUGAGCAGGAAAGCAGGGGAUCGCAAGACCUUGCGCUGAUUGAGCGGCCGAUGUCAGAUUAGCUAGUUGGUGAGGUAAAGGCUCACCAAGGCGACGAUCUGUAGCGGGUCUGAGAGGAUGAUCCGCCACAAUGGAACUGAGACGCGGUCCAGACUCCUACGGGGGGCAGCAGUGGGGAAUUUUGGACAAUGGGGGCAACCCUGAUCCAGCCAUGCCGCGUGAGUGAAGAAGGCCUUCGGGUUGUAAAGCUCUUUCGGCCAGGAAGAAAUCGUAUGGGCUAAUACCCUGUGCGGAUGACGGUACCGGCAUAAGAAGCACCGGCUAACUACGUGCCAGCAGCCGCCGUAAGAC
rnacentral:rRNA from 1 species